rnacentral:rRNA from 1 species
GCUGGCGGCGUGCCUAAUACAUGCAAGUCGAGCGAACAGAUAAGGAGCUUGCUCCUUUGACGUUAGCGGCGGACGGGUGAGUAACACGUGGGUAACCUACCUAUAAGACUGGAAUAACUCCGGGAAACCGGGGCUAAUGCCGGAUAACAUUUAGAACCGCAUGGUUCUAAAGUGAAAGAUGGUUUUGCUAUCACUUAUAGAUGGACCCGCGCCGUAUUAGCUAGUUGGUAAGGUAAUGGCUUACCAAGGCAACGAUACGUAGCCGACCUGAGAGGGUGAUCGGCCACACUGGAACUGAGACACGGUCCAGACUCCUACGGGAGGCAGCAGUAGGGAAUCUUCCGCAAUGGGCGAAAGCCUGACGGAGCAACGCCGCGUGAGUGAUGAAGGGUUUCGGCUCGUAAAACUCUGUUAUUAGGGAAGAACAAACGUGUAAGUAACNUGUGCACGUCUUG